rnacentral:lncRNA from 1 species
AUCUGAUCAAAUGAGAAAUAAACUUGUUCGUUUUGGAUUAAACCUGAAAACUGAAAAUCUUUUUAGGAAGUUUAUAUGAAAAUGUUUUCUAACUGGUCUUUCUUUGUGCAUUUUAAAAGUCUUGUGUAAAUUUAAAUCCCGACAUCCUGAAAUUCGAAAACAGAAUUCACUGAUCCCGAAAGGGUCAAUCCCGGAGUCCCGAUAAAGGUUCUAUCCCCCCUCUUUUGUAUCCUGG